rnacentral:rRNA from 1 species
UUCUCCUACGGGAGGCAGCAGUAGGGAAUCUUCCACAAUGGACGCAAGUCUGAUGGAGCAACGCCGCGUGAGUGAAGAAGGUCUUCGGAUCGUAAAGCUCUGUUGUUGGUGAAGAAGGAUAGAGGCAGUAACUGGUCUUUAUUUGACGGUAAUCAACCAGAAAGUCACGGCUAACUACGUGCCAGCAGCCGCGGUAAUACGUAGGUGGCAAGCGUUGUCCGGAUUUAUUGGGAGUAAAGCGAGCGCAGGCGGAAUGAUAAGUCUGAUGUGAAAGAGCACGGCUCAACCGUGGAACUGCAUCGGAAACUGUCAUUCUUGAGUGCAGAAGAGAGA